rnacentral:rRNA from 1 species
UGGGAGCAUGUGGUUUAAUCCCGAAGCAACGCGAAGAACCUUACCAGGUCUUCCCCCCUCUGAAAACCCUAGAGAUAGCCCUUCCCCUUCGGGAGCAGAGUGACAGGUGGUGCAUGGUUGUCGUCAGCUCGUGUCGUGAGAUGUUGGGUUAAGUCCCGCAACGAGCGCAACCCUUGAUCUUAGUUGCCAUCAUUAAGUUGGGCACUCUAAGGUGACUGCCGGUGACAAACCGGAGGAAGGUGGGGAUGACGUCAAAUCAUCAUCCCCUUAUGACCUGGGCUACACACGUGCUCCCCUCCCCCCCCCAAAGAGCUGCAAGCCCGCGAGGUGGAGCUAAUCUCAUAAAACCGUUCUCAGUUCGGCUUGUAGGCUGCAACAAGCCUACAA